rnacentral:rRNA from 1 species
GAUGAACGCUGGCGGCGUGCUUAACACAUGCAAGUCGAACGGUGAACGAGGGAGCUUGCUCCCUCCGGAUCAGUGGCGAACGGGUGAGUAACACGUGAGCAAUCUGCCCUGGACUCUGGGAUAAGCGUUGGAAACGACGUCUAAUACCGGAUACGAGACGUGAAGGCAUCUUCAACGUCUGGAAAGAACUUCGGUCCAGGAUGAGCUCGCGGCCUAUCAGGUAGUUGGUGAGGUAAUGGCUCACCAAGCCUACGACGGGUAGCCGGCCUGAGAGGGUGACCGGCCACACUGGGACUAAGACACGGCCCAGACUCCUACGGGAGGCAGCAGUGGGGAAUAUUGCACAAUGGGCGCAAGCCUGAUGCAGCAACGCCGCGUGAGGGACGACGGCCUUCGGGUUGUAAACCUCUUUUAGCAGGGAAGAAGCGAAAGUGACGGUACCUGCAGAAAAAGCACCGGCUAACUACGUGCCAGCAGCCGCAGUAACAC